ACAGGGUGGGAAAGGUAGGGGGAGUGGAGGAUGGGGAGACGUUGGUUAAUGGAUACAAAAUUAUAGCUACAUAGGAGGAAUUAACUCUAGUGUUCCGUGGCAUCAGUUCUUACCUACAGAAAAAUACAGUAUUGUGUAAUAAAAUUUCUUUCAAAACAUUUAACUAGCUUUGUUAUAGUCUCAAAGCUAUAGAGCCUGUAUUUUAACAUAAAAAUACACAAAUAUUUAUGUGAUUAAACUCAAUUUAUCCUCCAUUCCUAGCUGAGAUCAGGCUGCUGCACUCAGGCAGCCUGGGUGACUGAGCGAGACUCCGUCUCAAAAAAAAAAAAAAAAAAAAAAAGAGGCACCAUCGGAUGUCAGUCACACAAUAUAUGUCUGCAGAUUACUAUAAUCCAAUACAAGGCAAUGGGGUCUAAUAUCUGUUAACCCAGCUGUCCCCGGUCUUUUUGGCACCAGGGACUGAUUUUGUGGAAGACAAUUUUUCCAUGGACCUGGGGGAGAGGGGGCUGGUUUAGGGAUGAUUCAAGCACAAUACAAUGGUAAAACUUUUAAGUAAAUCUAACAGCAGAACUUUUAGAAUCUGAACAAUAUGCCUGAAGAUGAUGAUCCAAGAUUUGACUGUAAGCACAAAUUCAAGAAUAGUAUAUACAGUAUAGGCCCAAAGAAGUUAUCUAAGUAUGGAAUAUAUGAAGGUAAUGUGUAUUAUUCCAAAUUAUUAUAUUUUAUCUAGAUUAUAUGUUAUAUAUAAUAUGCUAUGUAUUAUAAUUAUUAAUAAUACAUCACAGAAAAAGUCUUAAAGAAUGUACAACAAUUUUUUUUUUUUCUGAGAUGGAGUCUUGCC
rnacentral:lncRNA from 1 species